AGAGCUGUCUUCAAUUAUCGCCAUCGCCAAAGCUAGAAUCUAGUUUCCAAUUAGCAAUAAUCGCAACUCGGUGAAACCUCAUUGAAGCUAGAACCUAAGCAAGUCGGGUUUGAAUGGAGGAAAUAAACUCGUUAUUCUAAUUUCCACAACUGAUCACAAUCUAUCACGAUACACAAGUUAUUUUGCAUUGUGAAAGUACAUGGUUUAGAAAUGACAAAGCAAAUUGUUAUUCUCCCGGAGGGUGUGUGUGUGCUCCGGUAGUGCCCUUGGCGACAAUCGUUCCUAGCCUAGCUUCAAGUGAUUCAAAUCAAAAGGUCCUUGAACUUAAUCAUAGCUUGCUCGUUUGUUGUAUUACCGGGUGCGAAGAUAAACGACAAGUGGCGUGGUUCACUUAUUUUUUUUUCGGCAACCCAGCCAAAAACUGAGUGGCGGCAUCAUCAGGCGGCAAAGAUUGCUAACGAGCGAAGAAGCCCAGCUGAUUGCAGUCGUCAAUUUUUCCAUCCACGCCUCGUUUCUUAUCACGCAUCAUGCGGUGGAAGCACACUGCGCAGGAAUGAAAUGGUAACCUACAAACCCCGACCGUUUGCGCAAAGAGGCACAAAAAAGCCGGGGAAGUCAUAGCUGCCGAGCUGGGGACUGACGAAGAGACGGUCAGAAAAACCAUCAACGGUUUAAAGGCGCAGUUUUUAGGAGAAUGUACUAAAGUGCGCAAAGGUGGAAAGAGUGCUGCUGGUGGCAGCGAGUUGUAUAUAUCCAAAUGGUUAUAUUGUUCUGCAUUACAGUUUCUCGUCCGAGGAAAACCGGGAUCGGGAGAAUUUGACUCACUGAAUGAUACACCCAAAAACAAAGAUUAUCAGAAUGAGGAGGACGUGAAAGACUCGUCGGAAUCAAAGGGGAAUCAGCCUCCCACUUCAACUACAUGUGCAGAAGUUCAAUCUCCUAUUCCGAGAGUCAUCACGCCAUGUGGAUCAAUACCAAAUAAGAAUCUGCGGGUUUUUUUGAGUUUCUUCUUCUGUUUAAGAUUUAUGUCCAUGUUUAUGUUCUGAUAAAAGUAUUUCUGUGAUGACACUCACAAAAAUAGGUUGAAUUAUUUAUCGCUGUCAACCAAACAAUACAGAAAAACAAAAAUUACUCGU